rnacentral:rRNA from 1 species
GACGAACGCUGGCGGCGUGCUUAACACAUGCAAGUCGAACGGAAAGGCCCUGCUUUUGUUGGGUUCUCGAUUGGCGAACGGGUGAGUAACACGUGUGUAACCUUCCCUUUACUUUGUGAUAACUUCAUGUAACUGGGGCUCAUACCGGAUAGGAUCUCCUGCUUCAUGGUGUGUGUUGGUAAGUUUCGGCGGUUGGGUAUGGACUCGAGGCUUAUCCGCUUGUUGGUGGGGUAGUGGCUUACCAAGGCUUUGACGGGUAGCCGGCAUGAGAGGGUGACCGGGGAAAAUGGGACUGAGAUACGGAACAGAGUGCAACGGGAGGCAGGAGGGGGGAAGAUUGCAAAAUGGGAGGAAGGGUGAUGCAGAAAAGGGGGGUGCGGGAUGAAGGGCUUGGGGUUGAAAAAAGAAUUAGAAUGAGAAGAAGAGAGAGUGAAGGUAAUGGGUAAAGAAGCAACGGCUAACUACGUG